rnacentral:rRNA from 1 species
GACGAACGCUGGCGGCGUGCCUAAUACAUGCAAGUUGAGCGCUGAAGGUUGGUACUUGUACCGACUGGAUGAGCAGCGAACGGGUGAGUAACGCGUGGGGAAUCUGCCUUUGAGCGGGGGACAACAUUUGGAAACGAAUGCUAAUACCGCAUAAAAACUUUAAACACAAGUUUUAAGUUUGAAAGAUGCAAUUGCAUCACUCAAAGAUGAUCCCGCGUUGUAUUAGCUAGUUGGUGAGGUAAAGGCUCACCAAGGCGAUGAUACAUAGCCGACCUGAGAGGGUGAUCGGCCACAUUGGGACUGAGACACGGCCCAAACUCCUACGGGAAGCAGCAGUAGGGAAUCUUCGGCAAUGGACGAAAGUCUGACCGAGCAAGGCCGCGUGAGUGAAGAAGGUUUUCGGAUCGUAAAACUCUGUUGGUAGAGAAGAACGUUGGUGAGAGUGGAAAGCUCAUCAAGUGACGGUAACUACCCAGAAAGGGACGGCUAACUACGUGCCAGCCGCCGCGGUAA